GUCCAGCCAGUAUAGUGGAUAUGACCCUCGACUUGUAGUCGAGUGGACUCGGGUUCGAAUCCCGAAUUGGGCA